rnacentral:pre_miRNA from 1 species
UCCUGGUCCCUGAGACCCUAACUUGUGAGCUUUGUGUGCUAAAAAUCACAGGUUAAGCUCUUGGGACCUGGG